UGGGGAAUUUUGGACAAUGGGCGAAAGCCUGAUCCAGCAAUGCCGCGUGCAGGAAGAAGGCCUUCGGGUUGUAAACUGCUUUUGUACGGAACGAAAAGGCUCUUUCUAAUAAAGAGGGCCCAUGACGGUACCGUAAGAAUAAGCACCGGCUAACUACGUGCCAGCAGCCGCGGUAAUACGUAGGGUGCGAGCGUUAAUCGGAAUUACUGGGCGUAAAGCGUGCGCAGGCGGUUCUAUAAGACAGAUGUGAAAUCCCCGGGCUCAACCUGGGAAUGGCAUUUGUGACUGUAGAGCUAGAGUACGGUAGAGGGGGAUGGAAUUCCGCGUGUAGCAGUGAAAUGCGUAGAUAUGCGGAGGAACACCGAUGGCGAAGGCAAUCCCCUGGACCUGUACUGACGCUCAUGCACGAAAGCGUGGGGAGCAAACAGGAUUAGAUACCCAUGUAGUCCCUGAGCGGGCUGGCAAGGCGCAU
rnacentral:rRNA from 1 species